UACGUAGGGUGCGAGCGUUAAUCGGAAUUACUGGGCGUAAAGCGUGCGCAGGCGGUUAUAUAAGACAGUUGUGAAAUCCCCGGGCUCAACCUGGGAAUGGCGAUGGAGACUGCAAGGCUAGAGUUUGGCAGAGGGGGGUAGAAUUCCACGUGUAGCAGUGAAAUGCGUAGAUAUGUGGAGGAACACCGAUGGCGAAGGCAGCCCCCUGGGUCAAGACUGACGCUCAUGCACGAAAGCGUGGGGAGCAAACAGG
rnacentral:rRNA from 1 species